UACGAAGGGGGCAAGCGUUGCUCGGAAUCACUGGGCGUAAAGGGCGCGUAGGCGGCCAUUCAAGUCGGGGGUGAAAGCCUGUGGCUCAACCACAGAAUUGCCUUCGAUACUGUUUGGCUUGAGACCGGAAGAGGUAAGUGGAACUGCGAGUGUAGAGGUGAAAUUCGUAGAUAUUCGCAAGAACACCAGUGGCGAAGGCGGCUCACUGGCCCGGUACUGACGCUGAGGCGCGAAAGCGUGGGGAGCAAACAGG
rnacentral:rRNA from 1 species